GUACCAACGGGUCUGCGUAACAGCUGAAUAUUCUAUCUCAUGAUGAAAAAGUAGAGACGAUUGUAGGCGAAAAUGAAGAGAGAUUUUAUCUUAGUUUUUAUUUUAUGCAAACCAUUUUAGUCUCAUCUUUUUUUAGUGAACAAUAAUGCAUGUUAAUUUAGUCUUAGUCAGCGUUUUUGGACAUUGGUGCAGUCUCGUCAUCGUCUCUUCUUAGUCAUU